rnacentral:rRNA from 1 species
GACGAACGCUGGCGGCGUGCUUAACACAUGCAAGUCGAACGAAGUGGCGAACGGGUGAGUAACGCGUCAUCAACCUGCCCUUCAGAGGGGGACAACAGUUGGAAACGACUGCUAAUACCGCAUACUGAAGGAGGGGAUUGCGUCUGAUUAGCUAGUUGGAGGGGUAACGGCCCACCAAGGCGAUGAUCAGUAGCCGGGCUGGGAGGAUUAACGGCCACAUUGGGACUGAGAAACGGCCCAGACUCCUACGGGAGGCAGCAGUGGGGAAUCUUCCGCAAUGGACGAAAGUCGGACGAAGCAACGCCGCGUGAGGGAUGACGGCCUUCGGGUUGUAAAGCGCUGUUAAUCGGGACGCGGUACCGGAAUAGAAAGCCACGGCUAACUACGUGCCAGCAGCCGCGGUAAUUC